UACGUAGGGUGCAAGCGUUGUCCGGAAUUAUUGGGCGUAAAGGGCUCGUAGGCGGUCUGUCACGUCGGGAGUGAAAACUCAGGGCUUAACCCUGAGCCUGCUUCCGAUACGGGCAGACUAGAGGUAUGCAGGGGAGAACGGAAUUCCUGGUGUAGCGGUGAAAUGCGCAGAUAUCAGGAGGAACACCGAUGGCGAAGGCAGGUCUCUGGGCCGCAACUGACGCUGAGGAGCGAAAGCAUGGGGAGCGAACAGG
rnacentral:rRNA from 1 species